CCCUUAGAUGUUCUGGGCCGCACGCGCGCUACACUGAUGCAUUCAACGAGUCUAAAACCUGCUCUGAUAGGGGUGGGUAAUCUUUUGAAUGUGCAUCGUGAUUGGGAUAGAUGAUUGCAAUUUUUCAUCUUCAACGAGGAAUGCCUAGUAAACGCAAGUCAUCAGCUUGCAUUGAUUACGUCCCUGCCCUUUGUACACACCGCCCGUCGCUCCUACCGAUUGAAUGAUCCGAUGAAUAUCAUGGAUUGAGGAUGCAAGCAGGUUCGCCUGUCUUCAUCUUCGAGAAGUGAAGUAAAUCUUGUCAUUUAGAGGAAGGAGAAGUCGUAACA
rnacentral:rRNA from 1 species